GAUGAACGCUGGCGGCGUGCCUAAUACAUGCAAGUCGAGCGAACGGACGCGAAGCUUGCUUCGUUGAUGUUAGCGGCGGACGGGAGAGUAACACGUGGAUCACCUCCCUAUAAGUCUGAUAUCACUUCGGGAAACCGGAUCUAAUACCGGAUAAUAUUUUGCACCGCCUGGUUCAAAAGUGAAAGUCGGUGUUGCUGUCACGUCUCGAUGUAUCCGCGCUGCAUUAGCUAGUUGGUAAGGUAACGGGUUACCAAGGCAACGAUGCAUAGCCGACCUGUGAGGGUGAUCGGCCACACUGGAGCGGAGCCACGGACCAGACUCCUGCGGGAGGCAGCAGGAGGGAAUCUUCCGCAAUGGGGGAAAGCCUGACGGAACAACGCCGCGGGAGUGAUGAAGGUCCUCGGAUCGUAAAACUCUGUUAUUAGGGAAGAACAUAUGUGUAAGUAACUGUGCACAUCGUGACGGUACCUAAUCAGAAAGCCACGGCUAACUACGUG
rnacentral:rRNA from 1 species